rnacentral:rRNA from 1 species
AUUGAACGCUGGCGGCAGGCCUAACACAUGCAAGUCGAACGAGUGGCGGACGGGUGAGUAAUGUCUGGGAAACUGCCUGAUGGAGGGGGAUAACUACUGGAAACGGUAGCUAAUACCGCAUACCCUCGGAUGUGCCCAGAUGGGAUUAGCUAGUAGGUGGGGGAAAGGCUCACCUAGGCGACGAUCCCUAGCUGGUCUGAGAGGAUGACGAGCCACACGGGAACGGAGAAACGGCCCAGACUCCUACGGGAGGCAGAAGUGGGGAAUAUUGCACAAUGGGGGCAAGCCUGAUGCAGCAAUGCCGCGUGUAUGAAGAAGGCCUUCGGGUUGUAAAGCACUUUCAGCGGGGAGGCGUUACCCGCAGAAGAAGCACCGGCUAACUCCGUGCCAGCCGCCGCGGUAAUUC